rnacentral:rRNA from 1 species
GCCAGUAGUUAUAUGCUUGUCUCAAAGAUUAAGCCAUGCAUGUGUAAGUAUAAACCUUUAGGUGAAACUGCGAAUGGCUCAUUAUAACAGUUACAAUUUAUUUAGUGGUUGAAUUUUACAUGGAUAACUGUAGUAAUUCUAGAGCUAAUACAUGAGAAGAGAUCGGACUCUACGGAACGAUCGCACUUAUUAGAUACAAAACCAUCGUAACCCACGGUUACUAGUAAAGGGUGAUUCAUUAUAAAUGUGUAGACUGUCGCAGGACAGUGUACUAUUCAAAUUUCUGACCUAUCAGCUCUCGAUGGUAAGAUAGAGGCUUACCAUGGCAUUGACGGGUAACGGGGAAUUAGGGUUCGACUCCGGAGAGGGAGCCUGAGAAACGGCUACCACAUCUAAGGAAGGCAGCAGGCGCGCAAAUUACCCAAUCCUGACAUAGGGAGGUAGUGACAAGAAAUAUCAAUACAUGGUUUUAUUCUAUGUAAUUGGAAUGAGGGAAUUUUAAAUAUAUAUUCGAGUAACAAUUGGAGGGCAAGUCUGGUGCCAGCAGCCGCGGUAAUUCCAGCUCCAAUAGCGUAUGCUAAAGUUGUUGCGGUUAAAAAGCUCGUAGUUGGAAUUUAGCCCAAGUCAACCGCGUCGCACCAAAUGGUGUAAUGCAGGGUGUACUAGGCUCUCUUCAAUUCCUAUAUGCAUUCUUCAGUGAAUGGUAUGGGUUUCGAAGCAUUUACUUUGAAGAAAUUAGAGUGUUUCAAGCAGGUUAUACGCCGUGAAUAUGUUAGCAUGGAAUAACAAAAGAAGACAUUGGUCUUAUUUUGUUGGUUUAUAUCACCAAUGUAAUAAUUAAUAGGAACAAUCAGGGGCAUUCGUAUUCGCUUGUUAGAGGUGGAAUUCUUGGAUCUUGCGAGGACGCUCGACUGCGAAAGCAUCUGUCAGGAAUGUUUUCAUUAAUCAAGAACGAAAGUUAGGGGAUCGAAGACGAUUAGAUACCGUCCUAGUCUUAACCAUAAACUAUGCCAACUAGAGAUUGGAGACUAUCACACUGUGAUGUCUUCAGCAUCUAAUGGGAAACCAAAGUCUAUGGGUUCCGGGGGGAGUAUGGUCGCAAGGCUGAAACUUAAAGGAAUUGACGGAAGGGCACCACCAGGAGUGGAGCCUGCGGCUUAAUUUGACUCAACGCGGGAAACCUUACCAGGUCCAGACAUAAGAAGGAUUGACAGAGAAAAAGCUCUUUCAUGAUUUUAUGGGUGGUGGUGCAUGGCCGUUCUUAGUUGGUGGAGUGAUUUGUCUGGUUAAUUCCGUUAACGAACGAGACCUUGACCUACUAAAUAACAUGAAUUUACGCCGUAAACGUUGUGUUUCUUANGGGGANUUUGUACAUAUAGUGCAAGGAAGUACGANGCAAUAACAGGUCUGUGAUGNCCUUAGAUGUUCUGGGCUGCACGCGCGCUACACUGACNCAAGCAGAGAGUUUCCCUUCUGAAAGGAAUGGAGAAUCUUGAAGUUGUGUCGUGAUGGGGAUAGUUUAUUGCAAUUAUUAAACUUGAACGAGGAAUUCCUAGUAAGUGUAAGGAAAUAACUUGCGCUGAUUACGUCCCUGCCCUUUGUACACACCGCCCGUCGCUCCUACCGAUUGAGUUAUCCGGUGAACUAUUUGGACCAUCCUUAGGACUAAUGUCAUCUGGAGGGGAAGUUUCGUGAACCUUAUAACUUAGAGGAAGGAGAAGUCGUAACAAGGUUUCUGUAGGUGAACCUGC